rfam:Camelus ferus isolate Naran unplaced genomic scaffold scaffold2383, whole genome shotgun sequence.
AAGGGUAUAGCUCAAGUGGUAGAGCAAAUGCUUAGCAUGCACUAGAUCCUGGGUUUAAUCCACAGUACCUCCU